GUGCAUUCAGACGACACAUCAGGACACGAGCCAGAUUAGUAUCAUCACAAGUUGGUUAUGUUUGAAUUGUUCCAUAUAAUUCAAGACGCAUAUAGACGGCUUUGCUUUAGAAAAGAAUAGUUUAGAAAUACGUUAUGCAAUGGCCAACCGGUGUGCAUUCAGACGACACAUCAGGACACGAGCCAGAUUAGUACCAUCACAAGUUGGUUAUGUUUGAAUUGUUCCAUAUAUUUCAAGACACAUAUAGCGUCUUUGCUUUAGAAAAUAAUAGUUUAGAAAUACGUUAUGCAAUGG
rnacentral:lncRNA from 1 species